rnacentral:rRNA from 1 species
AAUCAACGCUGGCGGCGUGCCUAACACAUGCAAGUCGAACGCGAAAGUGGCUUCGGCCGCGAGUAGAGUGGCAAACGGGUGAGUAACACGUGGGCGACCUGCCCUCGAGUGGGGGAUAACGUUCCGAAAGGGACGCUAAUACCGCAUGAUAUCCCGCCUUUGAAGAGGUGGAGAUCGAAGCCGGGGAUCGCAAGACCUGGCGCUCGAGGAGGGACCCGCGCCCGAUUAGCUAGUUGGUGGGGUAACGGCUCACCAAGGCGACGAUCGGUAGCCGGCCUGAGAGGGCGGACGGCCACACUGGGACUGAGACACGGCCCAGACUCCUACGGGAGGCAGCAGUGGGGAAUUGUUCGCAAUGGGCGCAAGCCUGACGACGCAACGCCGCGUGGAGGACGAAGAUCUUCGGAUCGUAAACUCCUGUCGAGUGGGACGAACGGCCCGGGACCUAAUACGUCUCGGGAGUGACGGUACCGCGAGAGGAAGCCCCGGCUAACUCCGUGCCAGCAGCCGCGGUAAUACGGGGGGGGCAAGCGUUGUUCGGAAUUACUGGGCGUAAAGGGCUCGUAGGCGGCCAACUAAGUCAGACGUGAAAUCCCUCGGCUCAACCGGGGAACUGCGUCUGAUACUGGUUGGCUCGAAUCCGGGAGAGGGAUGCAGAAUUCCAGGUGUAGCGGUGAAAUGCGUAGAUAUCUGGAGGAAUACCGGUGGCGAAGGCGGCAUCCUGGACCGGCAUUGACGCUGAUGAGCGAAAGCCAGGGGAGCAAACGGGAUUAGAUACCCCGGUAGUCCUGGCCCUAAACGAUGAAUGCUUGGUGUGGCGGGUAUCGAUCCCUGCCGUGCCGGAGCUAACGCGGUAAGCAUUCCGCCUGGGGAGUACGGUCGCAAGGCUG